rnacentral:rRNA from 1 species
ACAGCAGCAGCCGCGGUAAAACCGGGGAUGCAAGCGUUAUUCGGAUUGAUUGGGUGUAAAGGGUGUGCAGACGGCUUAUUAAGUCACUUGUUAAAUUCUUCGGCCUAACUGAAGGUCUGCAAGUGAUACUGAUGAGCUAGAGGGUGGAAGAGAGAAGUGGAAUUCUCGGAGUAGCGGUAAAAUGCGUAGAUCUCGAGAGGAACACCAAUGGCGAAGGCAGCUUCUUGGUCCAUUCCUGACGUUCAUACACGAAAGCGUGGGGAGCAAACAGGAUUAGAUACCCCGGUAGUCCCUGUCUCUUAUAC